rnacentral:rRNA from 1 species
AGAAGUGAAUAAGGGCGAAUGGUGGAUGCCUUGGCUCUCAGAGGCGAAGAAGGACGUGACAAGCUGCGAUAAGCUUCGGGUAGCUGCAAAUAAGCAUUAAUCCGGAGAUUUCCGAAUGGGGCAACCCAUCCUGCUGCGUGCAGGAUAUCCCGUAAAAGGGAGGCGAACGUGGGGAACUGAAACAUCUAAGUACCCAUAGGAGAAGAAAACAAUAGUGAUUCCGCAAGUAGUGGCGAGCGAACGCGGAGUAGCCCAAACCAGAUUUGUUACGGCAGAUUUGGGGUUAUAGGACUUGCGAUAAUGGAGAUACGAUUUUAGUGGAGAUACCUGGAAAGGUAUGCCAUAGACGGUGAUAGCCCGGUACACAAAAAGAUAAGUAUUUUUAAGCGAGUAUCCUGAGUAGCGCGGGACCGGAGGAAUCCUGUGUGAAUUAGCCGGCACCAUCCGGCAAGGCUAAAUACUCCUGAGAGACCGAUAGUGAACCAGUACCGUGAGGGAAAGGUGAAAAGUACCCCGAACAGGGGGGUGAAAUAGACCCUGAAACCAUUCGCUUACAAGCGGUCGGAGUCUUGCUUUAUAGUAGGAUGACGGCGUGCCUUUUGCAUAAUGAGCCUACGAGUUACACUUCAGUGGCGAGGUUAAUCCUUUUAGAGGGGAGCAGCCGUAGCGAAAGCGAGUUUUAACAGAGCGCUUAGUCACUGGGGGUAUACGCGAAACUUAGUGAUCUACCCAUUGCCAGGCUGAAGUUGUGGUAACACACCAUGGAGGGCCGAACCGGUAAACGUUGAAAAGUUUUCGGAUGAGCUGUGGGUAGGGGUGAAAGGCUAAUCAAACUGAGAGAUAGCUCGUACUCCCCGAAAUGCCUUUAGGGGCAGCCUUGCGAGGAGUGUCAUGGAGGUAGAGCUACUGAUAGGACUAGGGGGCUUCACCGCCUACCAAAUUCUGACAAACUCCGAAUGCCAUGACAUGCUCCGCAGGAGUGAGGGCAAGGGUGCUAAGGUCCUUGUCCGAGAGGGAAAGAACCCAGAUCAUCCGCUAAGGUCCCCAAAUAUAUGCUAAGUUGCAAAAACGCGGUCUGAUUGCAUAGACAGCUAGGAUGUUGGCUUGGAAGCAGCCAUUCAUUUAAAGAGUGCGUAACAGCUCACUAGUCGAGCGAUCGGGCAUGGAUAAUAAACGGGCAUAAGCAUAUUACCGAAGCGAUGGAUUCAUACUUUAGAAGUAUGAUUGGUAGGGGAGCAUUCCAAUAAGCGUAGAAUGAGAAUCGUGAGGUUCUCUGGAGCGAUUGGAAGCGCAAAUGUAGGCAUAAGUAACGAUAAUGCGGGCGAGAAACCCGCACACCGAAAAGCCAAGGUUUCCUGAUCAACGCUAAUCGGAUCAGGGUUAGUCGGGUCCUAAGGAUAAGCCGCAAGGCGUCUUCGAUGGACAACAGGUUAAUAUUCCUGUACCGGCAUAUAUGGCGAUGGGGUGACGGAGAGGUGACAGGUCUGCGCACUGACGGAAUAGUGCGUUAAAGGGAGUAGAUAUAUUUUUGGCAGGCAAAUCCGCCAGGGAUGUCGAACCUGAUAGUACCGAGCGCAUUCGUGCAAUCGGAUAAUGACCGUAAUCUGGCUUCCGAGAAAACCCUCUAAGCAUUCAACAUAUAUGUUGCCCGUACCGUAAACCGACACAGGUGGCUGGGGAGAGAAUCCUAAGGUGCUCGAGUGAUUCAUGGCUAAGGAACUAGGCAAAAAAGUGCUGUAACUUCGGGAUAAAGCACUCCUGCAGCGAUGCAGGACGCAGUGAAUAUGCCCAGGCGACUGUUUAACAAAAACACAUGGCUUUGCGAAUUUGAAAGAAGAAGUAUAAGGCCUGACACCUGCCCGGUGCCGGAAGGUUAAGAGGAGAUGUUAGUGGGAAACUGCGACGCAUUGAAUUGAAGCCCCGGUAAACGGCGGCCGUAACUAUAACGGUCCUAAGGUAGCGAAAUUCCUUGUCGGGUAAGUUCCGACCUGCACGAAUGGUGUAACGAUCUGGGCGCUGUCUCGGCCAUGAGCUCGGUGAAAUUGAAGUAACGGUGAAGAUACCGUUUACCCGCAACGGGACGGAAAGACCCCGUGAACCUUCACUACAACUUAACAUUGACUUUGGAUAAACCAUGUGUAGGAUAGGUGGGAGGCUGUGAAUUGGGGGCGCUAGUUCUCAAGGAGCCGUUGUUGAAAUACCACCCUUGGUUUCUUUGGAGCCUAAUCUUGCUAAGAGCGAGAGACAUUGUUUGGUGGGUAGUUUGACUGGGGUGGUCGCCUCCAAAAGCGUAACGGAGGCUUUCAAAGGUACCCUCAGCACGCUUGGUAACCGUGCGUUGCGUGCAAUGGCACAAGGGUGCUUGACUGUGAGACCAACAAGUCGAGCAGGUAGGAAACUAGGACAUAGUGAUCCGGUGGUUCCGUAUGGAAGGGCCAUCGCUCAAAGGAUAAAAGGUACUCCGGGAUAACAGGCUGAUCACUCCCAAGAGCUCACAUCGACGGAGUGGUUUGGCACCUCGAUGUCGGCUCGUCACAUCCUGGGGCUGGAGAAGGUCCCAAGGGUUCGGCUGUUCGCCGAUUAAAGUGGCACGCGAGCUGGGUUCAGAACGUCGCGAGACAGUUCGGUCCCUAUCUGUUGUGGGCGUAGGAAGUUUGAGAGGGGCUGACACUAGUACGAGAGGACCGUGUCGGACAAACCUCUGGUGUACCAGUUGUGACGCCAGUUGCACCGCUGGGUAGCCAAGUUUGGAAGAGAUAAGCGCUGAAAGCAUCUAAGCGCGAAACUUGCCUCAAGAUGAGACUUCCCUUAAGGGUCGUUAAAGACUAUGACGUAGAUAGGCUGCAGGUGUAAAGAUGGUAACAUCAAAGCCGAGCAGUACUAAUCACCCGUGAACUUCUUUAU